rnacentral:lncRNA from 1 species
UUGGCUUAGGGUUGGGUUGGAUUGCAUUGGGUUGAGUUGGGUUGGGUUGGGUUGGGUUCGAUUCCGUUGAGUUCUGUUGGGGGCGGUGGGGUGCGGUGGAGUUCGACUCAUCCAAACCCCACCCAAUCGAGCUUAACCUAACCCAAACUGAACCAAACCCAUGCCACCCCAACGCUAACCCAACCCAAGCUGAACCCACCCAACCCGACCCAACCCACCCAAACC